CCUCAGCCUCGCCCCCGCUCGACGUUUUGAGUCUGGCCCUGAUGAUACUGGAGCCGCUGCCGACCUCAACCUCACGUGCCUCGCCCCACCCAACGCUUCGACCAUGGCCUCGACGCGACAAAGAGAAAGGACAGCCGCCGCCGACUAGGGUUUUCCUAACCUCCUGAUCUUUUUUGGCAGUUCAUGCGCCUUGGUCAUGGCGAGUGGGGCGAAGGCGUGGCUGAUGUCGCGGCAUCGAAUCUCAGCGUCGCGAAUCUCAGGGAUCCUCGGUCUCUUUGCCCAUGAGGUUCUACUUCCCGUGCUGAUUCUCAACUCCACUCCUGACGUGUUGUUCUGAGUUUCUGUUCUGUUGGUUUGGUCUAUCCUCUGCAGGAGAGGCACGACAAUGGUUGGGAACGAUGGGCCGACCAACUUGGAGAAGGAGCAGGUAAGUUGGCGCACCUUGCUCCUCCAUUUCCUGUUUCAGUUUAUGUAUUUGUUGUAUAUCGUGUUCUACAACAGCGGUGGCAGCCCCAUCGACGUCGUUGUCGUUGGUGGAUGCAGGAUGUGAAGUAAAAUUUGUUUGAUAUAUUUUCAUACCUGUUCGAGAGAUACUGAUAGGAGUCCUUGCAUUGCAUUGCAUUGGUGGAGAAGCAGGGAAUUUUUGAGUCAACACAUGAAUUAUUUGGUAUACACACGCAUGUCAAUGCAUUACUGUACUGUAAUGAUCAACUUCGUUUCUUUUACAAACUUUAAGCUCUCAUGACAAUUCUUCAGACUCUGUUGAUAGUUCUUUAGAAAAAGAACACAUACGCACUAUGAAUUACCAGUGGAGAAGCAGAGAAAUUUUGGGUCGACACAUGGUUUCCUUGUUAUAUAGACAUCAAUGCAUUACUGUAAUUAUCUCUUUUACAAAAUCUAGCUCUUCUGAUAGUUCUCCAGAAAAAACAUAUACACAUGGGCCUGAUUGGAUUGGUGCUAAGAUGAGCUUGGCUGAGCUAGGAUAGGCCUAUUACGUGCAACAUAUUUUGUUUGGUUUCCUGCUUUCUGUCUUGCAGCUGUAUUAGUUCUCCCCCAUGAGCGAGUCUUGGAGGAAACAUAAUUGAUUCUUGUUUUCCCCAUGGCCAGGCUCAGCAAAGAUAAAUUAAGGUGAGAGAUAGAGAGAAGUAGAGAUAAGAUGUAUUGGAAAAAGAGAAAGAUGUAUUGAGAAAAGAGAAAUGUGUAUCGAAAAGUGAGAAGGUCUAAAUGUUUCACGAUGAAUUUUGAAUCCUAUAAUGGUCUUCUAUUAUCGAAAGAGGGAAUUGUUAUCUGUGUGUGUAUAUAUAGAAAUGCUAUUGUUACAAACACAUAUGGACUAUAUGCAGUUACAACUAUAUGCAGUCACACUGUCAGUGUUUUUUCUUUUACAACAAGCUUUUGUUCUGAAAUUAUAUUGUCUAUGAUUUGUAACUUGCUUGGUGGUUGGUGGUAUCAACAAGCUUUUGUCUGGUCCUUGAUCGGGUAGGCGGUCGUGUUGUGCAUGGCGGACUUGAGACAGUUGAUGGUUUGUCCGAAGCAUUGGAAAUCUGAGAGUGAGCUCCCUUGUAUGAUUGCUUUGGCUAAUUUGGUUUUGAUAUGCAACCUGUCUCUUUAUUUAUAACAAAACCAGCUUAGUCUAUGCUCCAAAUCAUAAGGAGUGACAGGACAGAUCUUUUUUUAUUCUUCUUCUUCUACGGAUUUUCCAUCAGAACAAAUAAGCAGGGUAGUAGUUAGUUGAUUACAGGAACGAGAGAUGCUGCAGGUUGCCGAGUUGCUGUGGGAUGCCUCCGGUGAAGCUACAGCCUGCCAGGAUCCUGAGAAGUAUAUAGUUCAGUUUUAAGCUCUGUACGUCGGACAAGGAAAAGCAGGGUCGGAAAAAAUGGAGAGUAGUGUAGUAGGCGCCAUACAGCGUGGUGAGCUGCGCGAGGUUCCCGAUUGUAGCAGGCAUUCGGCCGUCGAGACCGAGGUUGAAGGAAACGUCCCUGUAGGUGGUUAUGCUGUGAGAUAUAACACCUUUUUCCUUGCUCGCUUAGAAACUUCGCAUAUCAUUUCUGUCGCAUUAUAUUAUUAUAGAAUAUAGUACGCUCGUGUAUAUCUUGUUUCAAUUUAUUUUAUUUUUUUGGUUAACAUAAGCUUGACCGGUGAAGCCUGAAGAAAGCAGAGUUUGCAAGGCACUAGCUACAAGCCUAUAUGAUGCAGUCAUGCAGAAGUGUACAUGAGCUCUGACCAGUUCGAAAUCUUUGUACCCUACACCGUCUGAAAGGCAACAGCCAUGGUGAUUCGGAGGUUGGGGGAAGCAGGUGAGGUGACUUAGAGGUACAUGAGCUGGGUGAGCUGUCCGACACUGUCGCUGAGCGUGCCCUGGAUGUUGACACUUGACAGCCGCCUGCAUGCAAACAAGGCACGCACGAAGCAUGAAGACCCGUUCAGUCUGGUGGCUCGAAUCGAUCAGUGAAGAAAGGAAGGAAGUUGCGCGGUGAUUAAGUAAUAUAAAGACACUUGACUACAUCUCUGCUGAGGGUGGCCGGUGAUGAGCAACCUGUCUCUUUAUUUAUAACAAACUCAUACCAAGAAUGAUAGAUUGCUUCUGUGAAAAUUAUACGGAACAAGCAGACUGGGCACUCAGAAGGCUAUGGUUUUAUUGAGUUUUCCUCUCGAGCUGCUGCAGAACAUACUCUGGUGAACUUCAAUGGGCAGAUGAUGCCAAAUGUUGAGAUGACUUUUAAGCUGAACUGAGCUUCUGCUAGCACUGGUGAUAAGCGUGGAGAUAGUGGUUCUGAUCACACAAUAUUUGUUGGUGAUUUGGCUCAUGGUGUUACUGACUCCAUGUUGGAAGAUGUGUUCAGAGCUAAGUACCCUUCAGUUAGAGGAGCUAAUGUUGUUGUUGAUAGGAUGACUGGAUGGCCCAAAGGAUAUGGUUUCGUGCGUUUUGGAGAUCUGAAUGAGCAGGCACGUGCUAUGACUGAGAUGAAUGGAAUGUUGUUAUCUACAAGGCAAAUGAGGAUUGGUGCUGCAGUUAACAAGAAGAAUAGGGAUGCUCAGUAGACAUAUGCAACUAACGCUCGGACGGCGCGAGGGGCCGCACCAGCGUCGGCCUGUCCAAUUCCGAGUCCAGGCCAGACAGUGUGGCACAGCGUGGCUUCGACCACGACACUGAAGAGAAGGGUGGAGGAGCUCACAUUGAAGAAUUGCAUCAAUAAUGGUAUCCAGCCUGAGGUUUCUACUGGUGGGAGCACAAGAAGCAGGGAUAGGCCUACCCGUAUUAAUGGCUUGUGGGGUAAUUUUACACGGAGAACUAGCAAUUUGGCCAGCAGGGAAAACGCCGCACUGAGUUCUGGUGACAUUGCAAACUUGAGGGUUGGUGAUGCUUCAGCAAAGGUGAGGUUUCUAUUGUCUCAAGGAUGGUACCUGCACUUGUCAAACAUAAAAGCUCGCUACCUAUUUUAUUUAGACACAAUUAAGGCAAUAAGGCUUACUGGAGUUUCUGCAUACUCAAGGGUUAAUGGGCAUCCCAGACUCCCAGCAAUGGAAUCUGCAAGGUAUGGCUCAUUCGAACAUAGGUUCAUGGGCAUCCCAGACUCCCAGCAAUGGAAUCUGCAAGGUAUGGCUCAUUGGAACCAUAUGUGGAGAAGUUUAAUUCCUUAUUAGUGAGAGCAGAAGAUAGAAAAUGUAGAAUAGUUGUAUAGUGUUUCAAAGGCGUUGCCUACGCACGUCCGGCCUCUGAUGCUAUUGAUAUGAGGAUCUCAGUUGAUGAAAGAGUAAAGGACAAGCUCUCAAAUUUGGUAGCCAGGCUCCAAAAUCAAAGCUUUACCGCUUCCCGAAAGAACUAGCAUCACUCUCAGAGUGCUUGUUUCAUCUGAAAAGGAGACCACUUUUAGGUGGCAUAAUCCGACAUGAAGAUGAAAGAUCUGUACUUAGGAAUUUGUUCUUGAAUGCUUUGUUUGACCUUUCACUUCGUAUGCUACCACUUCAGUGUAUAAUGCAUUGUGAAGAUGUACAUUUGUGCUUGUUUGAUCUGAAAAGGGGACCCCUUGUAGAUAGCAUAAUAGGAUAUGAAGAUGAAAGAU